rnacentral:rRNA from 1 species
UACGUAGGGUGCAAGCGUUAAUCGGAAUUACUGGGCGUAAAGCGUGCGCAGGCGGUGAUGUAAGACAGGUGUGAAAGCCCCGGGCUCAACCUGGGAAUGGCGAUGGAUACUGGCUCGCUAGAGUGCGGUAGAGGAGAGUGGAAUUCCUGGUGUAGCGGUGAAAUGCGCAGAUAUCAGGAGGAACACCGAUGGCGAAGGCAGGUCUCUGGGCCGAUACUGACGCUGAGGAGCGAAAGCGUGGGGAGCGAACAGG